CGGGUGAGUAACACGUGGGUAAUCAACCCUCGACACUGGGAUAGCCCGGGGAAACCCGGAUUAAUACCGGAUGGCCCUUUGGAUCUUCGGAUUUGACGGAAAAGGUAGCUUCGGCCUCCGGUCGAGGACGAGCCCGCGGCGGAUUAGCUUGUUGGUGAGGUAACGGCUCACCAAGGCGACGAUCCGUAGCUGGUCUGAGAGGACGAUCAGCCACACUGGGACUGAGACACGGCCCAGACUCCUACGGGAGGCAGCAGUGGGGAAUCUUGCGCUAAUGCGGGAAACCGUGACGCAGCGACGCCGCGUGAGGGAAGAAGGCCUUCGGGUUGUAAACCUCUUUCAGGAGGGACGAAGCCACUCGGGUUAACAGCCCAGAGGGUGACGGUACCUCCAGAAGAAGCCCCGGCUAACUACGUGCCAGCAGCCGCGGUAAUACGUAGGGGGCUAGCGUUGUCCGGAUUUAUUGGGCGUAAAGAGCGUGUAGGCGGCUAGAUAGGUCCGUUGUGAAAACUCGAGGCUCAACCUCGAGACGUCGAUGGAAACCAUCUGGCUAGAGUCCGGAAGAGGAGAGUGGAAUUCCUGGUGUAGCGGUGAAAUGCGCAGAUAUCAGAGAC
rnacentral:rRNA from 1 species